rnacentral:misc_RNA from 1 species
GGCUGUAGGGUAAUCAUACAAUACACUUGUAAGAGAAUGAUGAAAUGGACAAAUUCCAUAUUGCAACCACAAGUAUAUAGCAGAAAAUUGAUGCCAGUAACAGAAAAGUUGCUAACAUUGAUCAAACACCGAGUACAUUGAAAAAUAAGUACUAAUGCACAUGAACUUGAUAAUGAUUGGUCACAUUUGAACAUCUAUAUAAAGCUGACUAAACUACUCAUAAAAACACAACUAGAAUGUACUUACUUUACUGGCAAGGAAGUA